UGAAGCCAUUUUAAAUUGGACCGCCAGAGAUCUGAGGUUACUUAAGAUCCCAGAUUUGAGCAGGACAGGAGAUCUGGAUCUGAAGACACUCAGAAACCUUGGUGUCAUUGUCAUCUGAGCCUCCAUUUGUGGUCACUAGGUCACCAACUGUAAAAUGCAUGUAGAGACCCAUGUCCUUGGAACCCAGCUGCUAUUUUGGGAGGAAGCCCAAGCCAUGAAGAAAGGUCUUACCAUGUGGAAAUCGAAUAGAUGGGAGGCAGAAUCUCACAUCCCAGCACUGAAGUCUUAGACUACAGACUUGAGCUUUGUCAGUUGAAUUCUCCUGCCUGGGACUGAAUCUGGAGCAGAUUCUAUUAGUUGUUUCUUAUACUGGCUCUGAUGAAGCAAGCUGCCAUAGGGAGAAGUCCAUGUGGCAAGGAACUGAGGGUGGCCUGCAGCUAACAACUAUCAAGAAAUUGAUGUCCUCAGUCCAAUAACCUGUAAAGAAUUGUACCCUACUGACAACCGUGUGAACUUGGAAGAGCAUCCUUCCCCAGUCUAGCCUAUAUGAGACCCUAGGCCUGGUUGAGACCUUGAGCUUCAGCCUAGUAAAACACCCUGAAGCAGAGAACCAGUUAAAUCAUAUCCAGAUUUCUGACCCAGAGAAACUGUGAGAUAAUAAAUAUGUGGUGUUUUAAGCUGCUAAUUUUGUGGUUAUUUUUCACAUGGCAACAGAUAACUAACACAUUCACCCAAGGUCAUACAAGUGGUAAGUUAAUGAGUAAGGAUAUGAAACUUGGCAGUCUGGCUUUGAUUUAGG
rnacentral:lncRNA from 1 species